AAUGAACGUUGGCGGCGUGGAUUAGGCAUGCAAGUCGUGCGGAAGGGCCCCGCAAGGGGUACUCGAGCGGCGAAAGGGAUAGUAACACGUAGGUACCCACCUCUGGGACGGGGAUAGCCGGGGGAAACUCCGAUUAAUACCCGAUAACAUCUUCGGAUCAAAGGUGUAAUUCCGCCUGGAGACGGGCCUGCGUCCUAUCAGCUAGUUGGUGAGGUAACGGCUCACCAAGGCUAGGACGGGUAGCGGGUAUGAGAGCACGACCCGCAUCACUGGGACUGAGACACUGCCCAGACACCUACGGGUGGCUGCAGUCGAGAACCUUCGUCAAUGGGCGAAAGCCUGAACGAGCGACGCCGCGUGCGGGAUGAAGGCCUUCGGGUUGUAAACCGCUGUCAGUGGGAAUGAAAUGCCAGGGGGCUCACCUCCUGGUUUGACAGACCCGCAGAGGAAGGACGGGCUAAGUUCGUGCCAGCAGCCGCGGUAAGAC
rnacentral:rRNA from 1 species